UACGUAGGGUCCGAGCGUUGUCCGGAAUUAUUGGGCGUAAAGGGCUCGUAGGCGGUUUGUCGCGUCGGGAGUGAAAACACGGGGCUUAACCCCGUGCCUGCUUCCGAUACGGGCAGACUAGAGGUAUGCAGGGGAGAACGGAAUUCCUGGUGUAGCGGUGAAAUGCGCAGAUAUCAGGAGGAACACCGGUGGCGAGGGCGGUUCUCUGGGCAUUACCUGACGCUGAGGAGCGAAAGUGUGGGGAGCGAACAGG
rnacentral:rRNA from 1 species